rnacentral:tRNA from 1 species
GUCCCCGUAGCUCAGGAGGAUAGAGCGCGAGAUUCCUAAUCUCGAGGCCGGAGGUUCGACUCCUCCCGGGGACG